AGUGAACGCUGGCGGUAGGCCUAACACAUGCCAGUCGAACGGCAGCACAGUAAGAGCUUGCUCUUACGGGUGGCGAGUGGCGGACGGGUGAGGAAUACAUCGGAAUCUACUUUUUCGUGGGGGAUAACGUAGGGAAACUUACGCUAAUACCGCAUACGACCUACGGGUGAAAGCAGGGGAUCUUCGGACCUUGCGCGAUUGAAUGAGCCGAUGUCGGAUUAGCUAGUUGGCGGGGUAAAGGCCCACCAAGGCGACGAUCCGUAGCUGGUCUGAGAGGAUGAUCAGCCACACUGGAACUGGGACACGGUCCAGACUCCUACGGGAGGCAGCAGUGGGGAAUAUUGGACAAUGGGCGCAAGCCUGAUCCAGCCAUACCGCGUGGGUGAAGAAGGCCUUCGGGUUGUAAAGACCUUUUGUUGGGAAAGAAAAGCAGCAGGUUAAUACCCCGCUGUUCUGACGGUACCCAAAGAAUAAGCACCGGCUAACUUCGUG
rnacentral:rRNA from 1 species